rnacentral:rRNA from 1 species
CCUACGGGCGGCAGCAGUGAGGAAUAUUGGUCAAUGGACGAGAGUCUGAACCAGCCAAGUAGCGUGAAGGAUGACUGCCCUAUGGGUUGUAAACUUCUUUUAUAUGGGAAUAAAAUGUUCCACGUGUGGGAUUUUGUAUGUACCAUAUGAAUAAGGAUCGGCUAACUCCGUGCCAGCAGCCGCGGUAAUACGGAGGAUCCGAGCGUUAUCCGGAUUUAUUGGGUUUAAAGGGAGCGUAGGUGGAUUGUUAAGUCAGUUGUGAAAGUUUGCGGCUCAACCGUAAAAUUGCAGUUGAAACUGGCAGUCUUGAGUGCAGUAGAGGUAGGCGGAAUGCGUGGUGUAGCGGUGAAAUGCUUAGAUAUCACGAAGAACUCCGAUUGCGAAGGCAGUUCACUGGACUGCAACUGACACUGAGGCUCGAAAGUGUGGGUAUCAAACAGGAUUAGAUACCCCAGUAGUC